UUCUUUUGAGCUAUAAAUUAUCAUAUUGUGAAGUUACAUCAACGAAGGUAUAUGUUUGUUUAUUUCAUAGUUACUGUUUUUCCAUGAUUUUUCAUCAUUUUACUAUAUCAAUUUUGAAAUUCUUUUUAUAAUGUUUUUUAAGCAUAAGAUCAUGUUAUAAAUAUCAGAGUGUGUAAAAGUCAACAACUGUCUUGAUCAACCAAUCAUUUAUUUAUCUCAAAAAAACAACUGUCUUGAUCACUUUUAUAUUGAUGUUUAUGCAAUGAAACAUUUACAGUUUGCCAAUUUUAAAUUUUUUUAUUGAAUUUUAUUCUGAUUGUCAAUAAAUUUUUUAAUAAAAACAAUCAUCAUGUUUAAUUAAAUUUGAAUAACAAAAUUUAAUUUUCAUGUGACAGAUGUUUGGUGGCCAAUCCAGAAGUUCGACAUGGAAUGUUAAGAUGCAUCGCAAACAAAGAGCAAGAGUGAAACCCCUUGACGAUGAUUGUGUGUUGUCCGUUUUGAUCAAUUCAAAAUUGAACAACAAAACAAAUGCAAUCUCAAAGAUGCAACAACAAAACUCAAGAAGCUACAAAGAUGCA
rnacentral:lncRNA from 1 species